rnacentral:rRNA from 1 species
GACGAACGCUGGCGGCGUGCCUAAUACAUGCAAGUCGAGCGAGACUCUUCGGAGUCUAGCGGCGGACGGGUGAGUAACACGUGGGCAACCUGCCUGUAAGACUGGGAUAACACCGGGAAACCGGUGCUAAUACCGGAUAAUCCUUUUUCUCUCAUGAGGAAAAGCUGAAAGUCGGUCUCGGCUGACACUUACAGAUGGGCCCGCGGCGCAUUAGCUAGUUGGUGAGGUAACGGCUCACCAAGGCGACGAUGCGUAGCCGACCUGAGAGGGUGACCGGCCACACGGGGACGGAGACACGGCCCAGACUCCUACGGGAGGCAGCAGUAGGGAAUCUUCCACAAUGGACGAAAGUCUGAUGGAGCAACGCCGCGUGAGCGAUGAAGGCCUUCGGGUCGUAAAGCUCUGUUGUUAGGGAAGAACAAGUACCGGAGUAACUGCCGGUACCUUGACGGUACCUAACCAGAAAGCCACGGCUAACUACGUGCCAGCCGCCGCCGUAAGAC